rnacentral:rRNA from 1 species
UGGGGAAUAUUGCACAAUGGGCGAAGGCCUGAUGCAGCGACGCCGCGUGAGGGAUGACGGCCUUCGGGUUGUAAACCUCUUUCAGUAGGGAAGAAGCGAAAGUGACGGUACCUGCAGAAGAAGCGCCGGCUAACUACGUGCCAGCAGCCGCGGUAAUACGUAGGGCGCAAGCGUUAUCCGGAAUUAUUGGGCGUAAAGAGCUCGUAGGCGGUUUGUCGCGUCUGCCGUGAAAGUCCGGGGCUCAACUCCGGAUCUGCGGUGGGUACGGGCAGACUAGAGUGAUGUAGGGGAGACUGGAAUUCCUGGUGUAGCGGUGAAAUGCGCAGAUAUCAGGAGGAACACCGAUGGCGAAGGCAGGUCUCUGGGCAUUAACUGACGCUGAGGAGCGAAAGCAUGGGGAGCGAACAGGAUUAGAUACCCUGGUAGUCCAUGCCGUAAACGUUGGGCACUAGGUGUGGGGGACAUUCCACGUUUUCCGUACCGUAGCUAACGCAUUAAGUGCCCCGCCUGGGGAGUACGGCCGCAAGGCUA